AGCGCGUUGGCAGAUUGGUUAUGCAACGGAUUGCAAAUCCGUGUAACCCGGUUCGAUUCCGGGAUGCGCUU
rnacentral:tRNA from 1 species